AAAGUAUUUUACUUUUAUUAGAA
rnacentral:tRNA from 3 species